GUUAAUGUUAGUGGAUUACUCAGGAACAGGUUAAUGUUAGUGGAUUACUCAGGAACAGGUUAAUGUUAGUGGAUUACUCAGGAACAGGUUAAUGUUAAUGUUAGUUACUCAGGAACAGGUUAAUGUUAAAGUGGAUUACUCAGGAACAGGUUAAUGUUAGUGGAUUACUCAGGAACAGGUUAAUGUUAAAGUGGAUUACUCAGGAACAGGUUAAUGUUAGUAUUUCUCAGGAACAGGUUAAUGUUAGUAUUUCUCAGGAACAGGUUAAUGUUAGUAUUACUCAGGAACAGGUUAAUGUUAGUGGAUUACUCAGGAACAGGUUAAUGUUAAAGUGGAUUACUCAGGAACAGGUUAAUGUUAGUGGAUUACUCAGGAACAGGUUAAUGUUAGUGGAUUACUCAGGAACAGGUUAAUGU
ensembl:lncRNA